GACAGAGGCCUCAAGCGUUAGGCGGAAUCACUGGGCUUAAAGCGUGUGUAGGCGGACUUCUAAGUGCCUUGUGAAAUCCCACGGCUCAACCGUGGAACUGCUGGGCAUACUGGGAGUCUUGGGCCAUUCAGGGGCAACUGGAACAAGCGGUGGAGCGGUGAAAUGCGCAGAUAUCAGGAGGAACACCGAUGGCGAAGGCAGGUCUCUGGACAGUUCCUGACGCUGAGGCACGAAGGUCAGGGGAGCAAACGGG
rnacentral:rRNA from 1 species